rnacentral:rRNA from 1 species
GACGAACGCUGGCGGCGUGCCUAAUACAUGCAAGUCGAGCGGACCAAAGGGAGCUUGCUCCUGGAGGUUAGCGGCGAACGGGUGAGUAACACGUGGGCAACUUGCCUGUAAGACUGGGAUAACAUCGAGAAAUCGGUGCUAAUACCGGAUAAUAAAAAGAACUGCAUGGUUCUUUUUUGAAAGAUGGUUUCGGCUAUCACUUACAGAUGGGCCCGCGGCGCAUUAGCUAGUUGGUGAGGUAACGGCUCACCAAGGCAACGAUGCGUAGCCGACCUGAGAGGGUGAUCGGCCACACUGGGACUGAGACACGGCCCAGACUCCUACGGGAGGCAGCAGUAGGGAAUCUUCCGCAAUGGACGAAAGUCUGACGGAGCAACGCCGCGUGAGUGAUGAAGGUUCUCGGAUCGUAAAACUCUGUUGUUAGGGAAGAACAAGUGCCGUUCGAAAGGGCGGCACCUUGACGGUACCUAACGAGAAAGCCACGGCUAACUACGUGCCAGCAGCCGACGG